rnacentral:rRNA from 1 species
CCAGGCUGUCUCCACCCGAGACUCAGUGAAAUUGAACUCGCUGUGAAGAUGCAGUGUACCCGCGGCAAGACGGAAAGACCCCGUGAACCUUUACUAUAGCUUGACACUGAACAUUGAGCCUUGAUGUGUAGGAUAGGUGGGAGGCUUUGAAGUGUGGACGCCAGUCUGCAUGGAGCCGACCUUGAAAUACCACCCUUUAAUGUUUGAUGUUCUAACGUGGACCCGUGAUCCGGGUUGCGGACAGUGUCUGGUGGGUAGUUUGACUGGGGCGGUCUCCUCCUAAAGAGUAACGGAGGAGCACGAAGGUUGGCUAAUCCUGGUCGGACAUCAGGAGGUUAGUGCAAUGGCAUAAGCCAGCUUGACUGCGAGCGUGACGGCGCGAGCAGGUGCGAAAGCAGGUCAUAGUGAUCCGGUGGUUCUGAAUGGAAGGGCCAUCGCUCAACGGAUAAAAGGUACUCCGGGGAUAACAGGCUGAUACCGCCCAAGAGUUCAUAUCGACGGCGGUGUUUGGCACCUCGAUGUCGGCUCAUCACAUCCUGGGGCUGAAGUAGGUCCCAAGGGUAUGGCUGUUCGCCAUUUAAAGUGGUACGCGAGCUGGGUUUAGAACGUCGUGAGACAGUUCGGUCCCUAUCUGCCGUGGGCGCUGGAGAACUGAGGGGGGCUGCUCCUAGUACGAGAGGACCGGAGUGGACGCAUCACUGGUGUUCGGGUUGUCAUGCCAAUGGCACUGCCCGGUAGCUAAAUGCGGAAGAGAUAAGUGCUGAAAGCAUCUAAGCACGAAACUUGCCCCGA